GGGUGACUAGUGACAGAGUGAGGAAGGGGGUGACACAGUGACAGAGUGAGGGAGGGGGUGACUAGUAACAGAGUGAAGGAGGUGGUGACUGUCACUAGUCACCCCAUCCCUCCCUCUGUCACUAAUCACCACCUCCCUCACUCUGUCACUAGUCACCCCUUCCCUCCCUCACUCGGUCACUAGUCACCCCUUCCCUCCCUCACUCUGUCACUAGUCACCCCCUCCCUCAGUCACUAGUCACACC